rnacentral:rRNA from 1 species
AACGAACGCUGGCGGCAUGCCUAACACAUGCAAGUCGAACGCGUGUAGCAAUACACGAGUGGCGGACGGGUGAGUAACGCGUGGGAACCUGCCCAGUGGUAGGGAAUAACUGCGGGAAACUGCAGCUAAUACCCUAUACGCCCUUUGGGGAAGGAUUCAUCGCCAUUGGAGGGGCCCGCGUCGGAUUAGCUAGUUGGCGGGGUAACGGCCCACCAAGGCAACGAUCCGUAGCUGGUCNGAGAGGAUGAUCAGCCACACUGGGACUGAGAUACGGCCCAGACUCCUACGGGAGGGCAGCAGUGGGGAAGUCUUUGCGCAAUGGGCGAAAGACCUGACGCAGCGACGCCGCGUGGGGGAGUGAAGCCUUUC